UAGGGAAUCUUCGGCAAUGGGGGGAACCCUGACCGAGCAACGCCGCGUGAGUGAAGAAGGUUUUCGGAUCGUAAAGCUCUGUUGUUAAGGAAGAACGAGUGUGAGAAUGGAAAGUUCAUACUGUGACGGUACUUAACCAGAAAGGGACGGCUAACUACGUGCCAGCAGCCGCGGUAAUACGUAGGUCCCGAGCGUUGUCCGGAUUUAUUGGGCGUAAAGCGAGCGCAGGCGGUUAGAUAAGUCUGAAGUUAAAGGCAGUGGCUCAACCAUUGUAGGCUUUGGAAACUGUUUAACUUGAGUGCAGAAGGGGAGAGUGGAAUUCCAUGUGUAGCGGUGAAAUGCGUAGAUAUAUGGAGGAACACCGGUGGCGAAAGCGGCUCUCUGGUCUGUAACUGACGCUGAGGCUCGAAAGCGUGGGGGGGGGCGAANGGAUAUACCCCGGUUACCCCCCCCGUAAACAAAAAGGGUAGGGGUUAGGGCCUUUUCGGGGNUANUUAGUGCCGCANCUAAUGCAUUACCCACUCCGCCUGGGGAGUACGACCGCAAGGUUG
rnacentral:rRNA from 1 species